UUCCUUCCUGCACCCGAGCCGUGCUGUGCUGUGCUGUGCCUCCUUUUAAAAUGGCUCCUCCGCUUUCGGCCAGGUGUCCCCCAAUCACCCUGAUUCGGGAGCCGAAAGGGCUGCUCUCCGUCGCCGGCUGGUGGGUGGGGGUGGUAUACCCAGUCCUUUACAGUACCCCGGGCCCGUCCAGGCCGAGGUCUCCGUGGCGGGAUGCCACAACACACACAAACACACACACACACACACACACACACACACACACACACACACACACACACACACACACACACACACACACACACACACACACACACACACACACACACACACAC